rnacentral:rRNA from 1 species
UACGUAGGGGGCAAGCGUUGUCCGGAAUCAUUGGGCGUAAAGAGCGCGUAGGCGGCCCUGUAAGUCCGCUGUGAAAGUCAAGGGCUCAACCCUUGGAUGCCGGUGGAUACUGCAGGGCUAGAGUCCGGAAGAGGCGAGUGGAAUUCCUGGUGUAGCGGUGAAAUGCGCAGAUAUCAGGAGGAACACCGAUGGCGAAGGCAGCUCGCUGGGACGGUACUAACGCUGAGGCGCGAAAGCGUGGGGAGCAAACAGG